UGCUCCUGGAUUAGUGGCGAACGGGUGAGUAACACGUGAGUAACCUGCCCUUGACUCUGGGAUAAGCCUGGGAAACUGGGUCUAAUACCGGAUAUGACCUUCCAUCGCAUGGUGGUUGGUGGAAAGCUUUUGUGGUUUUGGAUGGACUCGCGGCCUAUCAGCUUGUUGGUGGGGUAAUGGCCUACCAAGGCGACGACGGGUAGCCGGCCUGAGAGGGUGACCGGCCACACUGGGACUGAGACACGGCCCAGACUCCUACGGGAGGCAGCAGUGGGGAAUAUUGCACAAUGGGCGCAAGCCUGAUGCAGCGACGCCGCGUGAGGGAUGACGGCCUUCGGGUUGUAAACCUCUUUCAGUAGGGAAGAAGCCGCAAGGUGACGGUACCUGCAGAAGAAGCGCCGGCUAACUACGUGCCAGCAGCCGCGGUAAUACGUAGGGCGCAAGCGUUAUCCGGAAUUAUUGGGCGUAAAGAGCUCGUAGGCGGUUUGUCGCGUCUGCCGUGAAAGUCCGGGGCUCAACUCCGGAUCUGCGGUGGGUACGGGCAGACUAGAGUGAUGUAGGGGAGACUGGAAUUCCUGGUGUAGCGGUGAAAUGCGCAGAUAUCAGGAGGAACACCGAUGGCGAAGGCAGGUCUCUGGGCAUUAACUGACGCUGAGGAGCGAAAGCAUGGGGAGCGAACAGGAUUAGAUACCCUGGUAGUCCAUGCCGUAAACGUUGGGCACUAGGUGUGGGGGACAUUCCACGUUUUCCGCGCCGUAGCUAACGCAUUAAGUGCCCCGCCUGGGGAGUACGGCCGCAAGGCUAAAACUCAAAGGAAUUGACGGGGGCCCGCACAAGCGGCGGAGCAUGCGGAUUAAUUCGAUGCAACGCGAAGAACCUUACCAAGGCUUGACAUGAACCAGACCGGGCUGGAAACAGUCCUUCCCCUUUGGGGUUGGUUUACAGGUGGUGCAUGGUUGUCGUCAGCUCGUGUCGUGAGAUGUUGGGUUAAGUCCCGCAACGAGCGCAACCCUCGUUCCAUGUUGCCAGCGGGUAGUGCCGGGGACUCAUGGGAGACUGCCGGGGUCAACUCGGAGGAAGGUGGGGACGACGUCAAAUCAUCAUGCCCCUUAUGUCUUGGGCUUCACGCAUGCUACAAUGGCCGGUACAAAGGGUUGCGAUACUGUGAGGUGGAGCUAAUCCCAAAAAGCCGGUCUCAGUUCGGAUUGGGGUCUGCAACUCGACCCCAUGAAGUCGGAGUCGCUAGUAAUCGCAGAUCAGCAACGCUGCGGUGAAUACGUUCCCGGGCCUUGUACACACCGCCCGUCAAGUCACGAAAGUUGGUAACACCCG
rnacentral:rRNA from 1 species